GUCUACGGCCAUGCCACCUUGAACAAGCCCAAUCCCGUCUGAUCUCGGAAGCUAAGUAGGGUCGGGCCUUGUUAGUACUUAUAUGGGAGACCACCUAGGAAGACCAGGUGCUGUAGGCA
rnacentral:rRNA from 1 species